rnacentral:rRNA from 1 species
AUACGUAGGGUGCGAGCGUUAAUCGGAAUUACUGGGCGUAAAGCGUGCGCAGGCGGUUUUGUAAGACAGGCGUGAAAUCCCCGGGCUCAACCUGGGAAUGGCGCUUGUGACUGCAAGGCUUGAGUGCGUCAGAGGGGGGUAGAAUUCCACGUGUAGCAGUGAAAUGCGUAGAGAUGUGGAGGAAUACCGAUGGCGAAGGCAGCCCCCUGGGACGAGACUGACGCUCAUGCACGAAAGCGUGGGGAGCAAACAGGAUUAGAAACCCCAGUAGUCC